rnacentral:rRNA from 1 species
GAUGAACGCUGGCGGCGUGCCUAAUACAUGCCAGUCGAGCGAACGGACGAGAAGCUUGCUUCUCUGAUGUUAGCGGCGGACGGGUGAGUAACACGUGGAUAACCUACCUAUAAGACUGGGAUAACUUCGGGAAACCGGAGCUAAUACCGGAUAAUAUUUUGAACCGCAUGGUUCAAAAGUGAAAGACAGUCUUGCUGUCACUUAUAGAUGGAUCCGCGCUGCAUUAGCUAGUUGGUAAGGUAACGGCUUACCAAGGCAACGAUGCAUAGCCGACCUGAGAGGGUGAUCGGCCACACUGGAACUGAGACACGGUCCAGACUCCUACGGGAGGCAGCAGUAGGGAAUCUUCCGCAAUGGGCGAAAGCCUGACGGAGCAACGCCGCGUGAGUGAUGAAGGUCUUCGGAUCGUAAAACUCUGUUAUUAGGGAAGAACAUAUGUGUAAGUAACUGUGCACAUCUUGACGGUACCUAAUCAGAAAGCCACGGCUAACUACGUG